rnacentral:rRNA from 1 species
GGACCCGCACAAGCAGAGGAGGAUGUGGUUUAAUAUGACGCUACGCGUAGAACCUUACCGAGGCUUGACAUCCCUGGGACCCGCUGGAAACAGUGGGGUGCCUUCGGGAGCCAGGUGACAGGUGCUGCAUGGCCGUCGUCAGCUCGUGUCGUGAGAUGUUGGGUUAAGUCCCGCAACGAGCGCAACCCUUAUCGUAUGUUGUAUUUUUCAUGCGAGACUGCCCGGGCCAACCGGGAGGAAGGUGGGGAUGACGUCAGGUCGGCAUGGCCCUUACGCCUCGGGCCACACACGUCCUACAAUGGCCGGUACAACGCGCCGCGAAGCCGCGAGGUGGAGCUAAUCGCAUCAAAACCGGUCUCAGUUCGGAUUGGAGGCUGCAACUCGCCUCCAUGAAGUCGGAUUUGCUAGUAAACGUGGGUCAGCACACCGCGUUGAAUACGUUCCCGGGUCUU